rnacentral:rRNA from 1 species
UACGGGGGGGGCAAGCGUUGUUCGGAAUUACUGGGCGUAAAGGGCUCGUAGGCGGCCAACUAAGUCAGACGUGAAAUCCCUCGGCUUAACCGGGGAACUGCGUCUGAUACUGGAUGGCUUGAGUUUGGGAGAGGGAUGCGGAAUUCCAGGUGUAGCGGUGAAAUGCGUAGAUAUCUGGAGGAACACCGGUGGCGAAGGCGGCAUCCUGGACAAACACUGACGCUGAGUGAGCGAAAGCCAGGGGAGCAAACGGG